rnacentral:rRNA from 1 species
ACGAACUGCUAAUACCGAAUAAGUUCCAAGAGCCGCAUGGCCCAUGGAAGAAAAGGUGGCCUCUACCUGUAAGCUAUCGCCUGAAGAGGGGUUUGCGUCUGAUUAGCUGGUUGGAGGGGUAACGGCCCACCAAGGCGACGAUCAGUAGCCGGUCUGAGAGGAUGAACGGCCACACUGGAACUGAGACACGGCCCAGACUCCUACGGGAGGCAGCAUG